rnacentral:lncRNA from 1 species
AAGUGGAAGGCCGUAGGUUUUCUGUCGUUUGCAGGUUUUUGGGCCUGUUCAGCACUGAUGUCGUAAUCUUCGUUGACCUCUCUGUCUCUCCUGGGAUCCCGUUGCACCGCUUCCCGAUCGUUUUUUCUGAUUCGUGGGUCGGAGCUGGCCUCUUCUCCACUGUUGGCCUGUAGCCGAGCGGUGUUUUGUGCACUUUAAUAUAUGCGGGGGGUCUGGGACAUACGGGCGCUUCUUGCCUCUUUGCUUCCCAUGUGUCGGGGAGGUUCCUAUGUUUGAGUGUUCGAUCUCUCUUCGCUUCAGUUUUUCCUGUCGGGUCUUUGGCUGGCUCUGCCGCUCCAGACUCAGCUGUGUAAUCAUAAAGAGGAUCAUCGUGUCUUUCUGCCUUCAUAAGUGCCAUUUUCCUCGUUUUGUCUUCUCUGGUCGGAGUGUGGUCGUUCCGUUCCGUCCAAUUGAUGGUAUUUCGAAUUUGUUCC